rnacentral:lncRNA from 1 species
AACCCGAACCAGCAGCCGAACCAGCAGCCGAACCCGAACCAGCGGCCGAACCAACACCCGAACCCGUCGCCGCCGAAGAGAAAAGCGAGAUGGUGAUGGACGAGGAGGUCGAAACGACCACCAUCUUGGGAAUGGAGAACGACAGCGACGCCAUGUCAGAAAAUAAUGACGUCAUAGUCGAGGCCAGUGACGUCAUGUCCGAACUUACGACCGCGGAAGAGGACACGGCGACGGAAAGUUUCCUGGCAACCGAGGAAAAUGAAGCUCUUUAACAUCGAAAAACUCUUACGGGACAAGACGGAAGGGGAAGGUGUUGGGUGGGUGGGUGGGGGGGGGGAGUAGGGGAGGUAUGAAUCCUUCACGCAGUACAUAGGCCUAUAUGUCUCUAUAGGUUCAAUAGUCACACUAAUGGGUGGAUAUUCUUUUCGGGAUCUUAUGUUUUAAUGACAUUCAGACUUGCAAGUUGCAGAAUAUCAUGGAAUUACGUUUGGAAAGGUGGUAGUACAAAGCGGGGAGAGCUUCUUGUCUGUGUUGUUGAGGGAUGAUGAGUAUAAAUGUUUUGAUUUAUCUCGAUGUCUUUUAAAAUCCAUGGUUCCCUCCAUCGUGCUAAUUAUUUAUAGUAGUUUACCUUUUCAUUACAAAGUAGGUUGGUUUUCCACAUGAUACGGAUGUGCUCAACGAACACAAUGCUUUACUUAAAGUGCUUAUAGAAUUUCCAAUCAAUUUGUAUGAAAAACAACAGUAGACAAAAUAAAUGAUUUGUUUUGCAUUGUAAGGUCUAUAUGAGUAAAAAAAUGCGUGAGAGAGAGAGAGAGAGAGAGAGAGAGAGAGAGAGAGAGAGAGAGAGAGAGAGAGAGAGAGAGAGAGAGAGAGAGAGAGAGAGA